CGAGGCCCCGUAAUCGGAAUGAGUACACUCUAAACCCUUUAACGAGGAUCAAUUGGAGGGCAAGUCUGGUGCCAGCAGCCGCGGUAAUUCCAGCUCCAAUAGCGUAUAUUAAAGUUGUUGCGGUUAAAAAGCUCGUAGUCGAAUCUGUGUCCCGCGCCGCCGGUUCAUCGUUCGCGGUGUUAACUGGCGUGCCGCGGGACGUCCUGCCGGUGGGCUUAGCUCGCGAGGGCGGCCCAACUCAAUCCCGCCGCGGUGCUCUUCAUUGAGUGUCGAGGUGGGCCGGCACGUUUACUUUGAACAAAUUAGAGUGCUUAAAGCAGGCUAAAACUUCGCCUGAAUACUGUGUGCAUGGAAUAAUGGAAUAGGACCUCGGUUCUAUUUUGUUGGUUUUCGGAACCCCGAGGUAAUGAUUAAUAGGAACGGAUGGGGGCAUUCGUAUUGCGACGUUAGAGGUGAAAUUCUUGGAUCGUCGCAAGACGGACAGAAGCGAAAGCAUUUGCCAAAAACGCUUUCAUUGAUCAAGAACGAAAGUUAGAGGUUCGAAGGCGAUCAGAUACCGCCCUAGUUCUAACCAUAAACGAUGCCAGCUAGCGAUCCGCCGACGUUCCUCCGAUGACUCGGCGGGCAGCUUCCGGGAAACCAAAGCUUUUGGGUUCCGGGGGAAGUAUGGUUGCAAAGCUGAAACUUAAAGGAAUUGACGGAAGGGCACCACCAGGAGUGGAGCCUGCGGCUUAAUUU
rnacentral:rRNA from 4 species